CACCGCUGCAAGAGGGGAAGUUGCUACUGUGAUGAAUUCUGCCAUGUGGCACCAGACUGCCACCCAGACCACAGUGUCCUCUGCAACCCUGGUAACUCACAUACAGGCCCGAUUCCACCUACAGCAAAGCUGGAUGCGAUGGCUGGCAGAGGCAAACCCUUUGCCUGCACUUCAGGCCAAAGCCGGGAUGUGGCCUAGAUGGUUCCUAAGCUUCUCAGAUGACCAAGAUGGUGCUGCAGAUGGUGCUGAGGAUGGAGAACCCACCAAGCCCCGCUAGGAGCCACCUAGACUGGAUGCAGAGCAUGGACAAUUUGCUGAGGUCUGGGAGCACCCCCUCCAGAGAGUCCCUGAUCUCUCAAAACUUGGUCGUGAUCUAAAGUUUAUUUGAUGUACAACUCCCCCUCCCCUUCUUUUGGAGUUUUAUUUGCUUCCAAGAAGGAAGGCAAGAUUUCCUGGGUCCGUGAUGAUGGAAGGCUGACAACUCUUUUAUGGAGUUUGAGCUUGCUCCCAG
ensembl:lncRNA MUC20-OT1 MUC20 overlapping transcript